AUCUAUGGUCGGCCCGUCUGUUAGCAUCUCUGGCUGCUGUUGACCUUGUUUUUGGAGGAAAACACGGUGGAAGCUGAAUUAGUGAGGAUGACUCCUGCUCCUGUCAUCUCUAAACUCCUCCCACAUCUUUACCUGCACAGGAGGAAAAUCACUCCUGUAGGAUGCAGAGGGAGAUGAUGCCACAUCUGGUCCAGCUGAUGGAAGGUCUUGAAGUUCUCUGUCUGGCCUCGACUGAAGAUGGUCGUCUCACUGGAUUUAAGGUUCAGAUGCUCAGUAACAAACUCCACCAAUGAGCCAACAGGGAAGCUUUAGGUUUAUUAAAUGUUGCUAUGAAGGUAUCGCUGUUUUUCGUUGUGAAUGCAAUGAGCUCCAACUGAAACUUGAAUUAGAACUUAGAAGUAAAUCCUUCCAUCUGAAAGGAUUUAGUUGCAUUAGUAACCUCAUAACAUUGUAAUUUUUAUUCCAGUCUUGGCUGGAAAUAGAAUCUCUGUAUUGAUUCAGGUAAAAACUGAACUUCACAGCAUGUUGGAGCAAAACAACCAGAUGAAAACUGUGAUGGUGUUGGAUUGUCAGACCGUAAUGUUGCAGCUCAAAGCAGCUUUUCUAGCUCAGUUCAUUCUGACAUUCAACUAUGAAUCAACACAGCAGAUGGUGAUCCAUGCUGUGGAAGUCUCACAUCUCCUGAUUUAAUGGAGCUGCUUUGCACUUUUUACACUGUUUAUUCACCAACACUUUAUUUAAUAAAAGUCCCAUCUAGUUUUUAUGAGGAAUGUGAUGUUUUAAUUUCUCUGUGAAUAACUGCAGUCUAAUGUAACAGCUGGAGUUGUAACAUCUGUCCUGAUAUUGAUCAUGAAGUAUUGAUCAGAAUACUUAUGGUUAGCAGUCAUCCCUGAAGUUUUACAUUAAAAUCUUUACUUGUGUUGUGAACUUUGGUAAGAAGCAGAAACAUUAGCGUUGCCAUGGAUACAUGAGUGUUCUAUUCUGUCCAUGUUUCCAUUUUGGGAAAUGCAGUCCAGAUGAGUUUGUUUUUACUGCCAGCUACCAUUCAGUCUGAGAUAUUAAGAAUAAAUAAAUGUGCAUAAUGUGGAAAUGAACAGAUUUUAUUUUUAUUUAUUCCUACAGUUGCUGCAUGUAAAGUUCCAGAAUGUGGAGGAAUUUAGUCUCACAAUGACAGACAAUAAAUAUUAUCUGAAAGUCAGGUUAUUGUUGUUUAUCAGCACAAUACAAAAAGAUUCUUGUUAGAAAUAUUCCAGUUAAGACUCUAGAAUAUCAUGAUUUAUGUAAAUUUACCUCAAUAACAUGAAUGUUCAGGUUAAGAUUGUGCAGUGAUAUUUAUUAUGUAAGUUUAGCUGAUUAUAGUUUAUGACUCUGCACUACAAUAUUAUUAUUUAAAUAUUAUUUAUUUAAAUUUGCAUCAUUAUUAUAAUAUUUAGGGUCAGACCCUACAGUAUUGAGAUUAAGAAAUCAAAUAUUCUAUAAAAUGUAAAUACACUGAACUCAUUUGGAUAUAUUUAAGUGAGACUCUACAAUAUUAUUUGACACAAAUCUAUCUAAAUCAAAAUUUUAAUAAUUUUCAUGCCAAACAUUUACUGGACUGAUUUUAAAUAUUAAAAUCAUUCCUUUCUAAUCCUCUGCUGUACGUUCAAACCUGAGGCCUUAAAUAGAAACACACAAGUAUCUGAUUGAAGGAACUUCUGCAGAGUCCUGGUUCCAGAACAUGAUGAUAGAAUUAUAGACAAACUUUAACAAAAGCUGCCUGAGAGUUUACAGGUUUUUAUGUUGGAUUUCUUCAGUAAUUUAAUGAGUUAUUAGCAAAAAGCAAGUGUUCAUUUGAUGAACUUCAUUUCCUAAAACAUCCAGAAUUGGAGCUCAUAUCUUUGGCAGCUGUAAAGUUUCUGCUCCUUCAAAGUUCACAACACAAUGAAUGAAUUCCUAAAACACUCUCAGUGCUGGAGAGCGUUUGAUGCUGAAGCACUGACCAGUUUUUCAGUUUCUUCUCUGGAGAUGCACAAUGAGGGACGUCUGCAGCGACUGAGAAAGAGUCUCACCACAUCCUGACAUGAGGAAAAAGACUUUAUUGAAGACUACAAUGAGAAAAACUAUCAGACAGCAGACGGCUGCAUUCAAGAGAGGAAGACCAUCAAACAUCCACAUCAGCUGAUGGAGGUCCAAGAGUCUCACCCAACAAACAACCUACAGAGUGAAGACCUCAAAUCUGAUUGGACGGCCUCCUAUUCAGCCACGUGUGAACAAAUGCCUCUAAGCUGAUUUGUUUUCUAAAAUAAAUCUAGUUUGAGUCCUAAUCUAUGCCUGUGUGUUUGCUUCUUUACACUGCUGUUAACAGUUUAGGCUGUUAGAUUGUUCCAGAUAAGACAAG
ensembl:lncRNA